rnacentral:lncRNA from 1 species
CUGCCUCCAUCUUGGAUAAACUCUUUUUUCAAGAAGACGACAUGGCGGCCCACAAUCACAUCAUGAUCCUCAGGAAGAUAGAAGUAGUAUCUCAUGGUUUUCUUAGGAUACCCUAUAAAACGAGCCCUAAAGGACCUAGCCUCUAACUUGUCCAUCUGCUGUAGCUUGACAUGGGUCGGACAUCCCCGAAUCUUGAGGUAUCCAAGAGUUGGCUUCUUACCAUGCUAUAAUUCAUAUAGU